rnacentral:ribozyme from 1 species
AAAAAGAAUAAGUCAAUGGAAAAAAUGAUAAAUGUUGAAAGAAUCACUUGCAUCAGCAGCUAAAUGGAAGGAAGAAUUCCCGUUUUUCCACCGUUUUUGUUUUUAUUUUUUCGUUUCACUUUCCGUCUAAAGGUGUGU